GCUUCACUCUACCGUAACACAUUUUGAGCUGCUUACUGACAUCAAUGUGCUUCGUAGCUUGGAACUCAGCAUGGAGGAAUGUGGGAGAUCCAUCAAAGAGUUCUUCAUGAAGAUACCUACAAAUAAGGAAGUUGAGGAUGUGCUCUCCAAUGGUGACAAAAAUGAGAUGGGGCUCCGCAUUCUGCAGCUGCUCAUGGCACACUUUAGAGAAGACCUUACAGGGCUGGUCCGUCUUGCAGAUAUAACCAUUUUUCACUGCAGCUGAUGUUGAGACAACCCUCACGCUUCCUGCAAGUCCUCGCCUGAUACUGCUUGUUUCAGGUGGAACAGGACAAGUCACUAUUGAAAGAUGGAUGAUCUCCCUUGAGGGCCGUGUGAUGUUUGAGGGCAUCACACCAACGUUUUUGCAGCCUUGUUUGCGAUCUUCUACAUGCUCAACCUGCAGUACCAGGAAGAGGCCGUCUGUACUCUAGAAUUCAUUCAGAGGCGCUUCAUCGGUAUAAAUCCGGAGAGAGGCACGAAGGCAGCCCAGGGUAAGGUCGUCUCCAAGAAGUCUGGACGGAUUGUCCAGAAUAAGUCUGCCACGGUAAACACACAUGUGUCCGUCUUAAUAAAGAAACUAAUGGACUUUGAGUGGGACUUCAUUUAGCUUGAACUCAAUCAACACAAAAAGACAAUCAGCACAAAAGCAAUGAAGGAAAGUAAAAGUUUAAAGUAAGAUUUAAUAUUUCAAGAUGUUCAUAUAAGGUUCAGAAGUUAAACAUUUCAACUUUUAAACUCUCAGGGUCAACGAUAAACAACGAUUAGAAACCCUUUGUAAAUUAAGAAAAAAUACACUAGAUUUAGAUAUAUUUUAAAGAGAGAUAAUUAGCGUUCAAACAUGCUGCUAUCGAUAACAUUGUUAAAAUGU